rnacentral:rRNA from 1 species
UUAGAGUUUGAUCCUGGCUCAGGAUGAACGCUAGCGGCAGGCUUAACACAUGCAAGUCGAGGGGCAGCAGGGGGUAGCAAUAUCCUGCUGGCGACCGGCGGACGGGUGCGUAACGCGUAUGCGACCUACCCUUAACAGAGGGAUAACCUAAGGAAACUUGGACUAAUACCUCAUAUAAUUAUGUCCUUGCAUGGGGAUAUAAUGAAAGGAUGGAGACAUUGGUUAGGGAUGGGCAUGCGUGACAUUAGCUAGUUGGUGAGGUAACGGCGUCACCAAGGCGACGAUGUCUAGGGGAGCUGAGAGGCUAGACCCCCACACUGGUACUGAGACACGGACCAGACUCCUACGGGAGGCAGCAGUGAGGAAUAUUGGUCAAUGGACGGAAGUCUGAACCAGCCAUGCCGCGUGAGGGAAGGAGGCCCUAUGGGUUGUAAACCUCUUUUUAUCGGGAGCAAUAAGGGGGGUGCGCCCUCUGAUGAGAGUACUGAUAGAAUAAGCAUCGGCUAACUCCGUGCCAGCAGCCGCGGUAAUACGGAGGAUGCGAGCGUUAUCCGGAUUUAUUGGGUUUAAAGGGUGCGUAGGCGGACUAAUAAGUCAGUGGUGAAAGACACGGGCUCAACCGGUGUAUUGCCAUUGAUACUGAUAGACUAGAGAGUAGUUGGCGCUGGCGGAAUGUGUCAUGUAGCGGUGAAAUGCAUAGAGAUGACACAGAACACCGAUCGCGAAGGCAGCUAGCGAAGCUAUAUCUGACGCUGAGGCACGAAAGCGUGGGGAUCGAACAGGAUUAGAUACCCUGGUAGUCCACGCAGUAAACGAUGAUAACUUGUUUUUGGCGAUAUAGUGUCAGAGACAAAGCGAAAGCGAUAAGUUAUCCACCUGGGGAGUACGAUCGCAAGGUUGAAACUCAAAGGAAUUGACGGGGGCCCGCACAAGCGGAGGAGCAUGUGGUUUAAUUCGAUGAUACGCGAGGAACCUUACCCAGACUCAAAUGCAGAUAGAAUUAUUCAGAGAUGGAUAAGCCCUUCGGGGCUAUUUGCAAGGUGCUGCAUGGUUGUCGUCAGCUCGUGCCGUGAGGUGUCAGGUUAAGUCCUAUAACGAGCGCAACCCUUACGUCCAGUUGCCAGCGGGUAAAGCCGGGCACUCUGCGGACACUGCCACCGUAAGGUGUGAGGAAGGUGGGGAUGACGUCAAAUCAGCACGGCCCUUACGUCCGGGGCUACACACGUGUUACAAUGGGUGGUACAGAGAGCCGGCGGCCCGCAAGGUCCGUCCAAUCAAAAAAGCCAUCCUCAGUUCGGAUUGGAGUCUGCAACCCGACCCCAUGAAGCUGGAUUCGCUAGUAAUCGCGCAUCAGCCAUGGCGCGGUGAAUACGUUCCCGGGCCUUGUACUCACCGCCCGUCA